UAGAGGCUCUUAAGAUUUGCAAUUUGGUUCAUGAGUGAUGCAUAAGAUAUACUAACCAACUAACACGCCUCAAUGGUGUAUCAUAAAGAUUUUCAGAUGAUACAUAUUGGAGAGUAUUAGGAUCACUUUUCAUUUAGUAUCCUUUCCCUCUCCUUUAGUUAUAGAUUUAUGCGAUUAAGUUCCAUUUAAGAGUUUAGAAUUUGAAGAUAAUGUUCAAUAAAAUUGUCAAUCUCAAAAAUAUAUUUUCUAUAAGUUUCAGCUUAUUUUCAUAAGACUCAAGGUUUGAGAUAAGACAACCUUUAUAGAGCUCAUCUCAAGGUAAUUAAAGCAUGUCUUGCAAUAUAAGGAGG
rnacentral:lncRNA from 1 species